UACGGAGGAUCCAAGCGUUAUCCGGAAUCAUUGGGUUUAAAGGGUCCGUAGGCGGAUUUAUAAGUCAGUGGUGAAAGUUUGCGGCUCAACCGUAAAAUUGCCAUUGAUACUGUAAGUCUUGAAUUACUAUGAAGUGGUUAGAAUAAGUAGUGUAGCGGUGAAAUGCAUAGAUAUUACUUAGAAUACCGAUUGCGAAGGCAGAUCACUAAUAGUAUAUUGACGCUGAGGGACGAAAGCGUGGGUAGCGAACAGG
rnacentral:rRNA from 1 species